AAAAUUUUAGUUUAAAUAAAAUAUUUUAUUUACAAUAAAAAGAAUAAUAUUAUUAUUAAGAUUUUA
rnacentral:tRNA from 1 species